rnacentral:rRNA from 1 species
GGACGAACGCCGGCGGCGUGCCUAAUACAUGCAAGUCGAACGGUCUUUCUAUGGAAGCUUGCUUCCACUGAGAAGAUAGUGGCGAACGGGUGAGUAACACGUGGGUAACCUGCCCAUAAGAGGGGGAUAACAUCCGGAAACGGGUGCUAAUACCGCAUAGUUUUCUUGAUCGCAUGAUCGGGAAAGGAAAGACGGCCUUUGUGCUGUCGCUUAUGGAUGGACCCGCGGCGUAUUAGUUAGUUGGUGAGGUAACGGCUCACCAAGACGAUGAUACGUAGCCGACCUGAGAGGGUGAUCGGCCACAUUAGGGACUGAGACACGGCCCAAACUCCUACGGGAGGCAGCAGUAGGGAAUCUUCCGCAAUGGACGAAAGUCUGACGGAGCAACGCCGCGUGAGUGAAGAAGGUUUUCGGAAUCGUAAAACUCUGUUGUCAGAGAAGAACAAGUUGGAGAGUAACUGCUCCAGCCUUGACGGUAUCUGACCAGAAAGCCACGGCUAACUACGUGCCAGCAGCAGC